rnacentral:rRNA from 1 species
GAUGAACGCUGGCGGCGUGCUUAACACAUGCAAGUCGAACGGAAAGGCCAGUGCUUGCACUGGUACUCGAGUGGCGAACGGGUGAGUAACACGUGGGUGAUCUGCCCUGCACUUCGGGAUAAGCCUGGGAAACUGGGUCUAAUACCGGAUAGGACAAUGGUUUGGAUGCCGUUGUGGAAAGUUUUUUCGGUGUGGGAUGAGCUCGCGGCCUAUCAGCUUGUUGGUGGGGUAAUGGCCUACCAAGGCGUCGACGGGUAGCCGGCCUGAGAGGGUGUACGGCCACAUUGGGACUGAGAUACGGCCCAGACUCCUACGGGAGGCAGCAGUGGGGAAUAUUGCACAAUGGGCGCAAGCCUGAUGCAGCGACGCCGCGUGGGGGAUGACGGCCUUCGGGUUGUAAACUCCUUUCGCUAGGAACGAAGCGUAUUUGUGACGGUACCUGGAGAAGAAGCACCGGCUAACUACGUG